rnacentral:rRNA from 1 species
UGUGGUCACAUCAGCCUGAACACAUCUUGACUUCAGAAGCUAAGCAGGGGUGGACCUGAUUAAGAGCUGAGUUGGGGAAACUGUAC